CAGCCGCCGCGGUAAUACGAAGGGGGCUAGCGUUGCUCGGAAUUACUGGGCGUAAAGGGAGCGUAGGCGGACAUUUAAGUCAGAGGUGAAAUCCCGGAGCUUAACUUCGGAACUGCCUUUGAUACUGGGUGUCUUGAGUGUGAGAGAGGUAUGUGGAACUCCGAGUGUAGAGGUGAAAUUCGUAGAUAUUCGGAAGAACACCAGUGGCGAAGGCGACAUACUGGCUCAUUACUGACGCUGAGGCUCGAAAGCGUGGGGAGCAAACAGG
rnacentral:rRNA from 1 species